UACGUAGGGUGCAAGCGUUGUCCGGAAUUAUUGGGCGUAAAGAGCUCGUAGGCGGUUUGUCGCGUCUGCUGUGAAAACUGGAGGCUCAACCUCCAGCCUGCAGUGGGUACGGGCAGACUAGAGUGCGGUAGGGGAGACUGGAAUUCCUGGUGUAGCGGUGAAAGUGCGCAGAUAUCAGGAGGAACACCGGUGGCGAAGGCGGGUCUCUGGGCCGUAACUGACGCUGGAGGAGCGAAAGCGUGGGAGCGAACAGG
rnacentral:rRNA from 1 species